GUUAAAGUCGGCAAACGCUUUUUCCAGACUCCUAAAAAACAAAUGCGAGUUGAGCUCCCAGAAGAACAUGAGAGAGAGAGAGAGAGGAGGAGGGAAGAGGGGAAGCAUUCCACUUUAGACGAAUUAUCUUCGAAGGGAAAGUUCUCACAGAUUCAAUGAGUUUGAAGUCGGAGCAAGUGAUAGAUGGGUCCAAAGUAACACUUAUUGCUUCUCAAGGUCUACACCAAGGGGAAAUAACCUGUAUCCUUGAGCAGGAUGGUCCCAUCACCAAAGAUGCCACUUUUUCAACCAACAUGAGGAGGAUACUUUGACGGUAAACAGUCUUAGUUUAUACUUAAAUCACAACCGUCGGAUCUACACCGACAGCUCUGAACUUCCGACACUUGGAUCAACGCAUCGGCUUAGCACGUGCCAUAUAUUGGCGCGAUGCUUACUCCCCCCCGCCUUUUUUUCCCCCCUCAUCACACGUGCGCCGUGCGGGACGGCGGUGUAUUCCGAUCUGCCCCGCCCCAUCCGGCGCAUCUCAGCAUCUGUCCUCUCUAUUGGACCAUUUCGCCCCCCACUACUAUCGUACUCCACAAGCUUAAGCUUCUGAUUGGAACCUCCUCCCAUUUCGAUCUCAUCUCAGCGAUCGCCCUCCUCCUCCUUUGCUAGCGCUCCGGAGGUGAGCUAAGGAACCGAAAAGGAGCAAGGAGGCACGAAAGACUCUAGGGGGAGGAGAUGUUCUCCCAUCAACUUCUUGCGAGGAAAGCUCCUCUCGGCCAGAUCUCGUGAGUCUUAAACUCUCCUCUCGAUCUCGUUUCAUUAUGUCCCGUUUCGAAGAUAUCUUGUAUUUGAGUGGAAAUUUCUACGAUAGCGGCGACGAUGCACACCAAGAUCAAUCGGAAGCACGGUAAGCCAGACAUCAUCAAAAUCUGGUGAGCUUCUCCUCCUCCUUGUCGGCUGCUCCACAUCGUCCGAGAUUUCUCUUGCAUACAUUUCUCCGAUCUCAGCUCCUUUUUGCUAUUUUUAAUGAAAAUUUUGAUCGCAGUGAGGAGAUCCUGAAUCUCUCCGUUUGGAUGGCCCUUCGGCUCCUGGGGAUCCUCACGGGCAAGCAGUUAGAACUCUUUUCUAGUUUCGUUAACCUUUUUCUUCUCCUCUAUCUGUGUCUUUUUUUUUUUGGUACACUCUAUCUCUUGGACUGUGUCGUCUUUUCUGAGGCGGUCUGGUGAUCGUCUACGAGGGGAAGGUUAAACUUCUUUACUGUUCGUUCGCUGCUCCGUGUCUCCCUUUAUUUGUCUCAUCUGAGUGCGAGAUUAACUUGAUGUUUCUUCUCAUAAUUUCUCUAACCUGCAGAUGAUGUCACACGUUUCUGGUAA